GAAAUGCGAUAAGUAGUGUGAAUUGCAGAAUUCAGUGAAUCAUCGAAUCUUUGAACGCACAUUGCGCCCCUUGGUAUUCCAUGGGGCAUGCCUGUUCGAGCGUCAUCUACACCCUCAAGCUCUGCUUGGUGUUGGGCGUCUUUGUCCCGCCUCCGCGCGCGGACUCGCCCCAAAUUCAUUGGCAGCGGUCCUUGCCUCCUCUCGCGCAGCACAUUGCGCUUCUCGAGGUGUUGCGGCCCGCGCCCAGAAAGCAAUCGUUACCGUCUUUGACCUCGGAUCAGGUAGGGAUACCCGCUGAACUUAAGC
rnacentral:misc_RNA from 1 species